CCGUACCGGGGCCGCGUCCAGGUCUCCCCCAGCGACUCCCACAGCGACAUCUCCUUGGGGACCAGAUGGCCGCGCAGGAAGCCCACGGCGUCGCGGGAGAGCCCAGGGCUGGUGACCGAGCGCGCGAGGUCCGGGCCUCCGCAGGUGUUGACGAUCUGGGGCACAGCGCGGGUCAGAUCGCGGCCCACACAGCCGCCGGUGCGAGCUCCGAGCUCUGCAGGAGGGCGCGGGGCAGGGACCACGCCCUGGGCGGCCGGGGACAGGGCCACGCAGACGCGCGCCUGGCGCUGCCCCGUCACCCAGACCCGUUCCUCGGCCCCACCCACAACCGGCCCCGCCCACUCCCAUCCCCUGGCCUCGGGCCCCGCCCCGCCCCGCCCCAGGCACCAGGUCCAGCGGGCCGAAGAGGAAGUGCACCAGCUCCGCGGCGCUGGGGUUCUGGAUGUGCUUUUGCAGCUUUGCCUGGCGGGGCGAGGACAGGGCAAGACAGGCCCUGACACACAGCCGGCCCAGAGGACAGCGGCCCAACCUCCACCCACCCAUACCUGCGUCUCGAUGUCCAGCAGCCGCACUGACUGGUCGCUGACCUGCAGCAGCAUCUCCUGGGCCCAGACCUUCUCCUUGGAGCUCAGCUGCACCAACUUCCGGAUGGCGUCGUCCACGGAGGUGAUGGCCUCACUCUUGUCCAUGAUGAACGUGGCCAGGUGCUGGGGGAAGGCAGGUGGGCACGGCACUCCUGUGUCCACCAGGCCCAAGGAGAGGCAGCCCGGGGGACUGAGGGCCCCAGCCAACCCUAAGGAGUCCAUGGGGGGGCGGUCUGUAUUCUGCCCUAGUGGAUUCUUUGAGGGGUCAUGGUUGUGCACUGAUAAAGCCCUCAAAAAAAACUUUUAGACCGCUUCUCCCCACCCCUGCCACUGCACUCCAGGGCAGCCCUGCCCUCGAGUCCCAGCUUCCACAGACCCUGUCUCAAAAUAAGAAGAGCUAUGGAUGCAGCUCAGUGGUACAGCACUUGCCUAAUGUGCAGGAGACCCUGGGUUUGAUGCCCAGCACUGGAGGGAGAAAAAAAGCUAGAAAAUUAAAGAAAGCCCAAAGUAAGUGGAAGGAAGGAAAUUAAAAGAAAAAAAAAAAAAGGUCUACGAACUAGUAAACAGAAAACCAGUAAAGAAAACCCAAAGUCCAAAAUUCAUUCUAAGAUUAAUAAAACUGAUAAACCUCUAGGAAGAAUAAUUAAGAACAAUACUAGAGAAAACACUAAAAGGAAGGACGGAUCUUAUAG
rnacentral:lncRNA from 1 species